rnacentral:rRNA from 1 species
AUUGAACGCUGGCGGCAUGCCUUACACAUGCAAGUCGAACGGCAGCACGGAGCUUGCUCUGGUGGCGAGUGGCGAACGGGUGAGUAAUAUAUCGGAACGUACCCAAGAGUGGGGGAUAACGUAGCGAAAGGUACGCUAAUACCGCAUACGAUCUAAGGAUGAAAGCAGGGGAUCGCAAGACCUUGUGCUCCUGGAGCGGCCGAUAUCUGAUUAGCUAGUUGGUGAGGUAAAGGCCCACCAAGGCAUCGAUCAGUAGCUGGUCUGAGAGGACGACCAGCCACCCUGGAACUGAGACACGGUCCAGACUCCUACGGGAGGCAGCAGUGGGGAAUUUUGGACAAUGGGGGCAACCCUGAUCCAGCAAUGCCGCGUGAGUGAAGAAGGCCUUCGGGUUGUAAAGCUCUUUUGUCAGGGAAGAAACGGUCGUGGCUAAUAUCCAUGGCUAAUGACGGUACCUGAAGAAUAAGCACCGGCUAACUACGUGCCAGCAGCCGCAGUAA